GAAUGUUUUUCAAGGCUUGGUGUGUUAAGAGUGAUGGCUCUGGUCUUGACCAUAUUUCUCUUCAUUGGAUUUGCCUUUAUAAGCCUUCUUAUCUUCAAACGACAUGGUCAACAGCCAGGAGGUGUUCUAGGUUCAAUUAUCCACUACCCCGCCCAUUAUCUUGAAGUGCCAUUGGAAGGAUCAAGCCAAAAUAACACCUUACAAGUCCCACCAUUGUUGAAUGGUCCCUAAUCAAAGAAUUGAGUCACCACAUUACUAUGGAUUUACUGAUGUCUCAGAGAUUAGAGGUGAUGGAUAGUUUGAUACUGAAACAUAGGCAAAGGUCACAGUCACCAAGUCUAGACUCUCAGUAGUUUGAAAAUUCAGUAAUGAAAUCAUUCCAAUGUAUAUAAGGACAUUUCUUUGUGUGAAAUAAUCUUGAACGCUUGAGUAUUAAUGUGAUACGAUAAACAACGUAUUUUUGCAGAGCAUUCUUUCUUUUGUUUUAAAUUGAAUUUUGAAAUGCCCAUAUUCACAUAUCUACAACUCAGCCCAAAUUCUCAGCUAGAAUUCAUAGCUGUUGAUAAUAGUUUGCUUUUUCACCAAAUCAAACUUAUUUUAUGUUA